rnacentral:pre_miRNA from 1 species
UGUAUUCUUAUUGUAUUCGACUGUAUUCACGACGUGAAAUAGGGGAUUACACUAUUUUUAAAGCGAAAAGUGAAUCAAUUAACAUAACAGACUCCU